AACGAACGCUGGCGGCAUGCCUAACACAUGCAAGUCGAACGAGACCUUCGGGUCUAGUGGCGCACGGGUGCGUAACGCGUGGGAACCUGCACUUAGGUUCGGAAUAACUCCCCGAAAGGGGUGCUAAUACCGGAUAAUGUCUUCGGACCAAAGAUUUAUCGCCUUUGGAUGGGCCCGCGUUGGAUUAGCUAGUUGGUAGGGUAAAAGCCUACCAAGGCGACGAUCCAUAGCUGGUCUGAGAGGAUGAUCAGCCACACUGGGACUGAGACACGGCCCAGACUCCUACGGGAGGCAGCAGUGGGGAAUAGUGGACAAUGGGCGAAAGCCUGAUCCAGCAAUGCCGCGUGAGUGAUGAAGGCCUUAGGGUUGUAAAGCUCUUUUACCCGGGAUGAUAAUGACAGUACCGGGAGAAUAAGCUCCGGCUAACUCCGUG
rnacentral:rRNA from 1 species